GACGGAGGGUGCUAGCGUUGUUCGGAAUUACUGGGCGUAAAGGGCGCGUAGGCGGCUUCUUGCGUCGGAUGUGAAAGCCCGGGGCUCAACCCCGGAACGGCAUCCGAUACGGGGAAGCUGGAGACCGGGAGAGGAGGGUGGAAUAGCCAGUGUAGAGGUGAAAUUCGUAGAUAUUGGCUGGAACACCGGUGGCGAAAGCGGCUCUCUGGCCCGGUUCUGACGCUGAGGCGCGAAAGCUAGGGGAGCAAACGGG
rnacentral:rRNA from 1 species